UCGUGGGUAUGUGUGUAUGUGUGUGUAUGUAUAUGUGUAUGUAUGUAUAUGUGUGAGUGAGUGUAUGUGUAUAUGUACAUAUAUAUAUGUGUGUAUGUGUAUGUUUGUAUGUGUAUAUAUAUGUGUUUAUAUGUAUAUGUGUAUGUAUGUAUAUGUGUGAAUGAGUGUAUGUGUAUAUGUAUAUAUGUAUGUGUGUAUGUGUAUGUUUGUAUGUGUAUAUAUGUAUAUGUGUAUAUGUAUAUAUGUGUGCGUGUAUGUGUGUUUGUAUGUGUAUAUAUGUAUAUGUGUAUAUGUAUAUAUGUAUGCGUGUAUGUGUGUUUGUAUGUGUAUAUAUGUAUAUGUGUAUAUGUAUAUAUGUAUGUGUGUAUGUAUGUGUAUAUAUGUAUAUGUGUAUAUGUAUAUAUGUAUGUGUGUAUGUAUGUGUAUAUAUGUAUAUGUGUAUGUAUGUGUAUAUGUGUAUAUGUGUAUAUGUAUAUAUGUAUGUGUGUAUGUAUGUGUAUAUAUGUAUAUGUGUAUGUAUGUGUAUAUAUGUAUAUGUGUAUAUGUAUAUAUGUAUGUGUGUAUGUGUAUGUUUGUAUGUGUAUAUAUGUGUGUAUAUAUGUGUAUGUAUAUGUGUGAAUGUGUAUACGUAUAUAUAUGUAUGUGUGUAUGUAUAUAUAUGUAUGUAUAUAUUUGUUUAUAUAUGUGUGUAUAUGUGUGUGCAUGUGUAUGUGUAUGUAUUUGUGUAUCUGUAUAUAUGUGUAUGUAUGUGUGUAUGUGUAUCUGUGUGUAUAUGUAUGUGUAUAUGUGUGCGUGAGUGUGUGCGUGAGUGUGUGUGUGAGUGUGAGUAUGUGUGGGACUGGGGUUGAUGUCAGGAGUCUUCCACAAUCUCUUUUCUGUCCUAUUUUCACACAGAGGGAAAGAGCUAUGUGAAGACACAGCUAGAAGGAAGCAAGCAUCCUGGUGCACUAUCCUUUGUGGCUUUAAGUUUUGUGCCUAACCUACCCAGUCUAUGCUAUUUCUUAUGGAGACCUGAGCUGCUGAUGGGGGAGAGGACUCUGUCUGCGUUAACAGACCUAAGAAUCAACAUGGAAACACGUAUAGAUAUCCAUGAACACUUUAGGUGGAACGUCCCAGAACCUGCUGACAGGACAUGGCACAAGGGAAGGAAACUAGCGACUCAGGGAUGUUUUCAUGGUGUAUCCACUUCUUUGUGGAGAUUCGCUUACAUACAUGGAUUUCCAUUUAAACAUACAAAUUCUGGGCCUUCUGAAGACAGCGCUCAGAGACACUCAGAAUGGUCCAGAGUUUGACACAACAUUGUAAGGUUUUCCUACAAUACGUUCUCAGAUAAAACUAGGUCGUCUCGAACCCCUGGCAAUAGAAUUGUUUACCUUUACACCAAGAAGGUUUGGAAAGCACCAAAAUCUGUGUGUGUGCACCCAGACAGACUGCGAGGGCUUCAUGCCGUAAGACCUAAGUCUUUCGGAGUUUGUCUAAAAUAAAGAAGCGCGUCAGUGCGGCCUAUGGAAGUGCCAUCUGUAGUAAGUAAAAGGUCAGGCACGCUUCGUAUUGAGGAACAGAAAAUUGUUGUGGAAGUGUUGAAGACACAAACACAGAGUCGGAAAGCAAAAUAAAUAUGGGCUUUUUUAAAAAAAAAUAAUAAAAGUCAAGGCUCUGUAAAUAAAAGAUAAUUUAUAUAUAAAAAUAUAUAAAUCAAAGCUAUAUAUUCUGACCAGUGUGAUGGUCAAGGGCAGAGCAUCCAUAAUGAACUAGAAAACCUCCAGUGUCAGGAAAGGGUUACAUCUUACUGAGUCGUUGGCCAAAGGGAUCCCAUGGAAUCCCCCAAACAUCACAGACUACCGCCAAGGCUACCGGUAACUCUCUACAGCUUGAUGGUAAGGCCAUAUUGCUGAAGACAUCACUUACGUCAUUGAAGAAGGAGAAGUUGAACUGGAGCCUAACCAGAAGCUUCACUCAUCCUGACUAGUGUUCCUGGUCCUGGAAGGCACAGUUCCAGAGGAAAAAGGUAAUCAUGUAUGUCACUCAGCUAUAAACCCUGACCUACAGCAGCAACCUGCCUGCGAGAUAUACUGGAAUAACAGUAGCACAAAUAUGGGGGUGACCAACCAACUCCACAAGAUGGAACCCACGCCUGAUACAAAGUGGCCAAGAACCUCAGACUCCAUAGGUCAUGGGCCCAGGGGGAAUCUUUAAUAACCAUUGUUCUGCUAUAGGAGCACAGCAACAAAAUGACUCCUAAUGAUAUACACACAGAUUGGUGCCUUGAUCAAACCACAGGGAAGAAGGGUCUUCCCUAGUAGGUGGGAAUUAAGACAGAGACCCCACAGUUGGACAAGGGGCAGAGAGUGAGUCUUGGGCGCACUCAGUCCUAAAUGAGAUGUGUUCAUUAAACCCCUUCUUCCCAAGGCUCAGGAAUCUGUAAGGAAGCAGAGGUGGGUUCUAAGACCCAGAGGUGAUGGAUGACCCCAAGGAACCAAUGUCUUCUAGACACAACAGAACUGAUGUGCGUGUGAAUUUACACACACAAGACCUACACCGGUCUUAGUCAGACAGGGUCCUAGCACUGAGAAGGGGAAGCAGACACAGAAAGCUCAAGGUUAGAGUUUCAGUGGGUUUGUUUCCUUUGUGAGUUACAAGCAGAAGCCCUAACCAAGAAGCUCUUUGCAACUGAUACCUGCUGGCAAAGGGAAAAUCAGUUGUCACUAGUGGAGAUGCCAGGUACUGGGUCUAUCAAACACAUUCUAGGGAAGACCCAGGCCCAGAACAAUUGGCCAACACAAAUCAAACUCAGUGGGGUGUGUGUGUGUGUGUGUGUGUGUGUGUGUGUGUGUGUAUGUGUAUAUAUAUAUAUAUGUAUAUAUAUAUAUUUUUUUUUGGUUCUUUUUUUCGGAGCUGGGGACCGAACCCAGGGCCUUGGGCUUCCUAGGUAAGCGCUCUACCACUGAGCUAAAUCCCCAGCCCCUAUAUUUUUUUUUUUGGUGGAACUUUUUGUUCCAUUUUUGUUCCAUUUUUGUCUUGUUUGGCAUUUUUUUUUAUCUUGUUGAUCUUUUCCCUGUUUUGAUUUUCGUCUUUGUGGGAUUUCGUUUAUGGUUUUUGAAAGAGAGAAAGAAGGGAGUUGAGUAGGUAGAGAGGUGGAGAGAAGUUGGAGAGGGGGAAAUGUGAUUAAAAUAUAUUUUAUAAAAAUAUUUAAUUUAAAAAAUAAAUAAAAUAAAACGGCAUAUGAAGUCUAUUAUUUGACAUGUGCACUAAAAGAAUAAUAAAAGCAAUUUUAAAAUACAUAAAACAAGUGUUAAAAAUUCAGCAGCAACACAAUAUUCUCUCACGUGUCUACAUUAUAAUUUCCUUAGCCAAUUAAGCUUGAACUCCUGAUCCUUCUGCCUCCACCUUCCCAAGUGCUGAGAUCACAGGCCCAUGUCAUAAUAUCCCUUACAUGUUUACUUCCUCUCUGGUAUUUUCAGUGUUAUCAGUCACCCAAUCAACAACUUUGUACAUGGAACCUUUUCCCCCCAAGAGGUUGAAAUUACCUUCUUAAUGCUGAUUUUCAAAAGUUAAGUUCAUUGGACUAGGAGUAAGGGGCACCACCCUCGGUCCUCACGGUAAAGUCCCAUGAGCCACUGGUGAUCUCAGGACUUGGCUAAGGCGAGUACACCCAGAGUCAUUCCUGUAGGCUCCACUAGUCCCUGAGCCCACAGGACAGUCCGCUCGCUCCCCAACCGCCAUGCGGGAGCAUUAACCUGUUCUGGAGAGCGGAGGCGGUGCUGAGGAUCCAGAACUCGCUGAGAAUGCAGCCAAACGCCAGAGAAACUGGUGAUCUACAACGCAGGCAUUAACCAGACCUUCGCAAGCCGAGAACCUCCAUGUACGUGACCGCAUUCCUUUUUUCCAAAGUGCUACUUGGGUGAUGGGCUCUGCCUGUCAUUGAACGCUUGGGGAAGGAGCUGCACACUCACUGGCAGAUGACGAGUGGGACAUGUACAACAGCAGCAGCAGGAUCCCUCUCAGCUCUGCCAUCCCCGGAGAGAAGCACAGCGAGCACCAUGUGAGCUGGGAAGACAGAAGACUCGUGACUCCAUCGCCGUCCACGGGCAGGCUCCCCUGCUCCCAGAAAAGGGUGAUCCCCAUUGUGGACACCUGUCCCUUUUUGCCAUCAAGGUUCCCAGAUGGAGUAAACUGACCUGUCACAUCCCCAGCUCUGGGUUCCGUGCAGGUAUGGGCAAGGAAGAAGCUGUCUGACUCCGAUGCUUGGCUAGCGGUUUGUGAGAUGGCCCGAGGAGAGAGGGUGGUCUGCUUUUUUUUUUUUUCCAGUUGUCUUCUCAAAGCAGCCUGGGGCCCUGGUUGUGCUAAAGAGUUGGUUCUCUAUAAAGGGUUGGCUUUUGAAUUGUGGAAUUCAACCCUUGCUUUGACUCUAUAGCCAUAAAACACUGCCAAAAGAGAAGACAGGGUUUUGGUGGGAGCUCUCCCAGGGUUUAGUGAUGUCUCCCCUCCUAUUAAAACUAGACACAGAUGCUCUCAUGAUCCCCAUUUUACAGAUGCAGAAACUGACACCCAGAGAUACUGAGUCACAGGAUCAAGGUCGUACAGCAACUAAGCAGUGAAUCGGAAGUGUGAUCUCAAAACUAUCUGAACCCCUAAAGCCCUUAGGAGCAUCACCUCACAUCCUGGUGCCUCAAACUGUGCGCCAUGACCUAAGGAAACUGUGUGCACAGUUCUAAGUCACCAUGUUCCCCUCAUGACACAAGAUGUUUCUUUUGUCCUCAGGAUGAUGCUUCUAGUUCUUCCGUGAACUAUUCCGACUAAAGGAGAAACAAACUCACUGUGGCCUUAUGCAGCAGAGCUCUACAGCGGAGUUUCUUCUACACCUUGGGAAGAAUGUUCCAUUGUGGCGUCAUGGUUACCACGGCAUCUCUCAGCAAACAUUUGGACCUGAGAACUUAAGAGGAACAGGAUGAAAUGUAUGAAUUACCUGACCUUGACAGGGUUCUCUUGGAAGACGCCUUCUGGGUAUGAUUAAGAAGACUUAACCCUUUGCAAGAUGACAAGGUCCUUGGUUGCAGCCACUGGCUGCCUUGUGCUCAGCACCUGCCCGAAUUUAUACAAGUUGCCUUUCAGAGCGAGCAUAGCUCCCGUCCCCCUGCCAGGAUGGUUUCAUGGACACUGAGUCCAUGCUACACUACUAGGCAGGCUCUAAGAAGCCAUGUGGCCAGGUUGGAUCUACUCUCCAGCAGCCUUGGCUUCACGCAACUGCUGGGACUAAACAAGUACUGAUGUCAUGUGUGAUCUGAAAUAGCUACUGUGUGGAAUUAGCCUAAGCCCAUUUACAGAUGAAUGGGUAAUGGAAACCUGGUAUUUAUGCACCCUGGAAUAUUACUGGGCCAUAAAGAAGGCAAUCCCGCCAUUUGUGACAAGUGCUGAUGAAUCUGUAAGACAUUAUCUCAGGGAAAGAAGCAGGCACAGAAAUACAGUUAUUUUAUAACAUGUAUGCGUGGAAUCUGAAGAAGCCACAGAAGCAAGGAACAGAAUGGUGGGUUCCAGGGGCUGGGGUGAAGGGAUGGAGGGAAGCAGGGCUAGGCUAUGCCCCACACUGCCUCUGCCAUCCAUUCACAGCCUCCAGAGAGGCCCAGCUUCCAAAAGGUCCGUAAUCGGUUCCCCAAACAGCACGCAGCAAGGUUCGCGAGAGAGCUUCUGCAGGAUGUUUCAUACUUAAGCAAAACAUUUGUCCGCGGACCUUUCAGUUGUCACCAAUUUUUAAAAUAUGAACCAACAAUUCUGCGGCAAAUAUGGUCCCACCCGUCUUGGUAGGAUUUCCAUAUUUUCCAUGUGAUGGCAUUGUCUCACUUGAGACACUAUCCCAAGUCUGUACCGGGAGUCUGUCUUCCCGGGCCGAGUUCUUCCCAGACAUAAACCAACUUGUGUUAUAUUUCUCAAUGGCAACAACCAAAGCCCUGAAGGAAAUGGAAAGAUGCCUAACCACGUUCUCCCGGGGCUGUGAACUGUCCUACCUCGCGCCUCCUCUGCUUCCGCGGGACUGGCCAUGGCUCAGUAACACUUGGGACCUUCAGUGCUCCCAGAGGAGGUUUAGAGUUCCCUUAAGUGAGAGGCUCAUGGCAUCCGGCCACCAGCUGGUGCUUUACAAGGAACAAAAACUGCUACCAGCCACCACCCCCAAAGGAUCCCUUUGCUAAUUAAGUUGCUGGCUUUGAGGCUAAACCUUUCAUCUUAAAGAAGACAGGAUUGAAGACCAUAGACCAUGUAGGAACCUUGCAGAGUGCUGCACAGAGCGGGAAUCUGCAGCUACAGGAUGCGGUGCAGUUCAAUACCUGGACCUCAGAGAGACCAUCACCAUGGAGACAAGAAAGCCAAGAGACAGGAAGUAGAAAGUAGAACUGAUCUUUUUUUUUUCCUAAACACGUUCAUGAAUAGAUCACUUUAGAAAAUGUCUGACGGGCUAUACAUAGCUGAAUCUCCUGUGGCAGCGAGUUAAGGAUGUGGGGGUGGUGGGAUGGAGAGAGGCCUCUUUUAUUUUUGGUUUUAUUCGAUUUUGUACUUUUCCUUUAAUAAGUUUGUGCUGCUUUUUUUUUUUUUUUUGGAGGGUAAGGGACAUUUAUGGGACACAAGCUGUCAUCCUGCCAGCCUCUCUGUAGUGUCCAAAGCAGCCCAGAUACUUUUAAUAACGUUCUAGUGUAAAAAAAAUUGGGAAUGAAGAUUUUAGUUUAUGUUUCAGAAAAUCCAUGAUGGUUUUGGCGUUGAUCAGCCAAUAAACCUGUAUUUAAAAAAAGGGUGUGUGUGUGUGUGGAGAGAUGGCUUGGCAAUUAAGAGCUUGCAGGGGACCUGAAUCCAGGAUUCCAGACCUAAGCACCAUCACACCAGGCAGCUCACAACCCCAGGAACUCCAGCUCCUGAGGGGCCUCCGUGGGCACGCGUGCUUAUAUGCACACCCCCACUCACAGACACACACACACACACACACACACACACACACACACACACACCCCUACAUGCAAUUUAAAAUAAAGAUAAUCUAAGAAAAGACAGAGGAGGUUUUUAAUAAGAAGAGCAGUCGAGAUGUCCCAGGUCCCUCCGUGGGUCCCCUGUUGCUGAAUAAAGCAGCCUAGAAGUCUGUGUGUGGUGCACCCGUCAGACUAGCUUGCUGAGAUGUUGUGCCUUGACGAAGAAACAGACAUCUUCAAGUGCCUUGCUACCUCACCUUACUGAGCCCAACAGGGAUGACAGAAAAUUAGGGGUGCCUAUAGCUCAACUGACAGUUGGGGAAAGGCGAGAGGAAUGUUAGAUUGCAGCUACUCUCAACCAGGCACCGCAGGCCCCACCCCUGCCUCUUUGCCACGCCCCCAAGACUUCCUGCUUGCUGGUGGGAGUGUGUGUGUGUGGUGGGGGGGAUGAUAUGCCCUGCUUCUGCUGUGCCCUGUCUCCUUCAGCCAACCUCCUCCCUGCUGCCGGGUACCUGCCUUGUACAUCAUAGUCUAGGACUUCCCUCAUCACCCACAGGCAAGAAGCAACCCUGCAGGGGUCACCAAGUCAUCGGCAAGUGCUAGCCUGCCCGGUAUCAGUCACUCGGUCGCUCCCCUCCUCAGUCAAUCACCUUGCCACAAAAAUGUCCAAUAUGGCCUCACAUUCCUUCCCUUCUGGAUGAUUCUCUAACCCUGUCCCUAAUUCUCCAGUAAUUCUGUUCAUUUCUUAAAGUCAAGUCUUUAAGACUCAGAUUCCGGGCUGGAGAGAUGGCCCAGCGGUUAAGAGCACUGACUGCUCUUCCAGAGGUCUUGAGUUCAAUUCCCAGCAACCACACGGUGGCUCACAACCAUCUGUAAUGGGAUCCGAUGCCCUCUUCUGGUGUGCGUGAAGACAGUGACAGUGUACUCACAUACAUUAAAUAAAUCUUAAAAAAAAAAAAAA